rnacentral:lncRNA from 1 species
GCAAAAUCUCUUUUUUUUGGAUUUUUGAGUUACAGUAUUUUUUUUCAAAUACAAAGUAGAAAGUACAAUAACAAAAGACUCGACAUGACUAUACAAAAUUAGAAAGUAAAAGACGACAUAAAAUGAAAAUUAGACUCAAAAUAAUAAAAAAUCUCCUUAAGCAACUCCUGAAUGAGUGAUCCUGACUGGAUGGUCCCAGGCUGUCUGUCAUGCUCAAACUCCGGUAAGUAGACUCACACCUGUAUGAGAAAAUUAAGACCAAAGAAGUUAAAGACCUAGAACGCUAUGUGAGACAAUAACCCUUCCUGUUGAACACAUGCAAGGCAUGAUUGUGACUAUUUUUCUAAAAUUAACCUAUGUGGCUAAAAGUGGAUAAAAAUGCAGGAUUUGGCUAAGACCCCGCGAAGCGAAGAACCUAAGACUCACUAGGAAGACCGGACCCUAUGUGGGUUGCCUACGUAUCACGCCCCGAAAGACGAGAAUCAGAUAUGCAUAGUUCGGGCAGAUUGGAUACGGGCGAGAAUUAAAAAAAGCACUGAUUUGAAGAAAAAUAUAUUUUUUUGUCUUUUUUUUGAAAAAUAAUGAAACAUGUAAACUCUUUUUGGAUUUUCUUUUCCUUUUAUUUUGAUUUUUGGAAAAUGAUGGGAAAGUGCAAAAUCUUUUUGAAUUUUUUCAUUUUCCUUUUUUUUGUUCUUAAAAAAAUGUAAAAGAAAAACAUAAUUGGGCCCUGCUUGAUUUAUUUUCACGUUUCACCCUCUUUUCUUUCUCAUUUACCCUCAAUCAUCAUUGGUCCGACAAAUGACCCUUUUUACCCUUGAAGAUUGCAAACAUGUGGCACAUAGGAUGCAUCGGGAUGAUCUUUUAUUUUUGGGUACACUUGUCCUAGACGGACCCACCCCUGUGUUGAGUCCCCAAAGUCAAAUGUACGUGAUGCAAACAAACGUUCCUACUAGGGAUCCGGCAUAAGAUUAUAUUAUUCUAAGUUUAAACCUGGGGUUGUGUUCUUGACCUGGCUUACACGAGCGGACAACUCAAGCCGAAGAGGGGGCAAUGUACCGGGAGCACGAAAUUCUAUCCGGCCUUGAUACUAGCCCAGCCUCGUUCUAUUUGGUAUAAAUUCUAACAAAAGUACGUGUGCACCAUAUUUUCAGAAAACUCAAAAGGGAGGCGUAAAAAGGCUUUUUAAUAUAGUUCAAAUAAUAUCAAAGCGGUAAAUAAACGAUAAUUAGUACAUUAGGUCCACAAAUACAGUAAUAUCAACAAAUAAUAAAGCCAAGAAUAGAUCAUAUUAGCAAGCUCGAAUUCUUGAACCUAGAACCAGAAGUUUGGGGGUGUGUUCCCCAGCAGAGCAGCCAGAGUUGUCACACCUCCUUUUUACUACCCCCGGAAAGGGGUAUAAGAGAGUUUUUCCAAUUUAAGUAACAAUCGAAAUGGGAUUAUUUAUAUCAAAUUCAGAGUUGCCACUUGGGAUAAUUUAUGGUGUCCCAAGUCACUGGUUUAAAAUCCCGAAUCGAGGAAGUUUGACUCUAUUUAAGGUCUGCGAACAAAGAAAUUCAGGUAAGGAAUUCUGUUAACCCAAGAGAAGGUAUCAGGCAUUCUCGGGUUCCGUGGUUUUAGCACGGUCUCUUUGAUUAUACCUGGCUUAUUAAAUUGUCUAAUUACUUAUUUUAGAACCUAUGUACAUUUUUCUUCUUUUAAUUAAGCAAUUAUCAUAAAACGAGUCACGCGUACGUGUACUCAUUUCAUUCGGUGCGUCAAGAAUCAUGUCACGUGUACGUGUGCACAAUUAAUCACGCUUUGUUGAUAUUAAGAAAGUUUGGCCGAAGUUGUGCGAACGCAUAUCUCGAUUUAUUUUGAAAAUCAUAAUUAUGUCAUGCAAACGUAUAAACAAUCACCAUUUAUUUUUUGAUUUUAGUACAAUCCACGCUUGUCCUAUCAAUGCCCAAUAAAUAAAAUGAAUCAUAGAAUGAAUCUAGCUUAUUGAUAUGUUUCAGAAAACUUUACUAGCAUCAUCCAUCUGUUUUUAUGACAAACUUGUGCUUGAUUAUCAAAAUUUAUACUUUUAAGUCCCCACCUUUCGCCUUCCUGGUACAGUCAUUAAUUCUUGAAGAGAAAUUGAAUGUACGCGGUAUAGAUUUGAACCAAUACAUAAAGUAGUUCAAUGAAAAUUCUUUUAAAGCCACAUCGAAUAGAACCCAACACUUAAAGUCCAAAAUUACUUUUAAAGUUACUACUAAUACCAUUCCAUUAUUCAAUCUUUCCUAUGAAUUCUGCUUUUCAUUAAACCAAACCUAAAUCAAUCAUGGCUAGACCAAAUUAUAAAAAUACUACUGUAAAAACAAAUUAUGAUGAACAAACAUUGAAGUAAGUAUACUAGAAGAUAUCAAUAUGAGGAGCAUUAUUUUAUUCCACUCAGAGAGGCAUAAAAACUCAUUAAUCAGAAAGAGGAAAAGAUAUGGACCUCAAAAAUCUUUGACUGAACGGAUUAAACAACAAAACGGAGAACACGACCUUGAUCGCGAGAUCGAAACCCGAGAGGCAACCUCACUGACUCGAACUCCCUAAAAAAUAAACGAGAAGGUGAUGAGAAGAAGAAAGCAGAGCAGCAGUGGAAUGGAGCAGUCCCUGUCGGAUUUGACCAGCUCGCCGACGAGAUAGAAUCUGACGAGAGCGAAACGAGGAAACGAGGGAGGAGGCGAUUCUCUGAGAUUUUGUUCCCUUUUCCCUGCUUCUGAGUGUCUGCAUUGCUGGUUUUUGGAGAAAGAAGAAGGUGUUGAUAUGGGUCAUUCAUGGCUGCGUUUUCAUGGUUUUAUGCUAUAUUGCGACUGAAGUUUGCUGAGUUUUGAUGGAGGCUUCAAGGUGUUUAAGGGUAUUUGAGGUGGUGGAGAAGAUGGAGAUGAGAUGGGGUAGGGUGGCUGAUGGCGAGGCGUGGCCAGUGGUGAAGCUGAGAGAAGCAGCUACCUUCUUUAUUUAAGGGAGAUGAGAAGAAAACUUUUGUGAAUCGCCGUUCUUCUCUGCUAAAGAAGAUGUCCAGCUACUGUGAGUGUGUUUUGUGCUAAGAAAAAGCCAUGGAAAUGGCUGCUUUCCUUAGAGAAGAAGCAAAUGAUUCGAUCGGGGGUGGGUCAUUUUUUGUUGUAAACGGCGGAAGAGUUUCUUUCAGGGUCUAAGGUCUAGGGUGUAUCUCCCUUUUUAUCUUUAAAAUGAAGAGUAUGUAGGGUUAGGUUAGUGGGUAUUGGGUAUUGGGCUUGGGUUGUUAUGGGCUAGGUCCAAAAAUUAGGCCUAAAAAUGGGUUGUUUGAGCCCAAAUUUUAUUCCUUCUCCGCGAACGAGACUAAAAAUACGACCUUAUUUACUAAUUAAUCCUACUUAAGUAAAAUAACUAUUAAAAUAAGACUAAUCGUUAAAACAAACCUAUUUUUUUGUAUUUUCAAAUAUUAUAUUAAAAU